UACGGAGGGGGCUAGCGUUGUUCGGAAUUACUGGGCGUAAAGCGUGCGUAGACGGUUAUUUAAGUCGGGUGUGAAAGCCCCGGGCUCAACCUGGGAAUUGCAUUCGAGACUGAAUAGCUAGGGUACGGUAGAGGGAAGUGGAAUUUCCGGUGUAGCGGUGAAAUGUGUAGAUAUCGGAAGGAACAUCAGUGGCGAAAGCGACUUCCUGGACCAGUACCGACGUUCAGGCACGAAAGCGUGGGGAGCAAACAGG
rnacentral:rRNA from 1 species